CAAUUCACGGGCUUUCGGUAUGCAACUAACGCACGGAAAAAUCAGACUUUUUUUUUUCUUCGCGAUGAAAGAAAAACUUUCAAGGAUGGCAAAUAGAAAGAUUAACUUUCGAGGAUUUCAGUAUAAUCAUUAAGAAGAAAAUUGGUAAUUUAUUGGUAAUUGUGUACUUCGUAAACUUUUAAAUCUUUUGUUGUGUGAAUUUGGCUUAAAAGUUAGUAACGCUGACGAUGAUGUCACGAACACAGAGUAAAUGAGAUAUCAUAAACGACAAUAUUUCAUACACUAAAUGCGGCGAAGAGCGGGGAUGAAGUUGCGAGGCCAAGGCUUGGGUGGGGCUAAUUAUCAAUAUGAGAAGAGCGGAGCAGAGAGGCGAGCAGAGGGAAGGCAAACUGCUUCGUUGGGCUUUCAAAGGAAGUUAAAAAAUUUAAGAGAAACCAAGAGAUUUAUAUAGAAGAAAAUUUGUGCAUUACAAGCAAUUACAAGACUUAUAAUCGGUCUAUGGAAAUUGAGAAAGACCGUUAUUAUUGUAAUAUAUUACUAUGUACAGCUAUACAUAUUAUUAUGUUUGCUGUAUUAACAUUAGUAUUUGUCUGUUUGUUUGUGGUAUACAUUAUGCGGCCUUAUUGAAAUUGUUGUUGUUAUUUACACACGCUCGCCUGAACUAUGCGUUCCUCUUUAUUAAUAUUGCGAUAAAUAUUACCACAGCCUCAGUGAAUAGAUAAGACAUCCGCCCCGGAUAAGAUCGGUAGAUUUCAGAUUCGAAUCCUGGCUGAGGUAAUAUUUUUCGCAAUAAAUUCUUUACAGGUGAAAAAUCAAUUUAAUAUGUAAUAUUUCAGCGUAAAAUUAUGAUUGCGAUCUUAAAAAGUCCGAAAGUAAUCGAUACGCAGUUAAUUUACUGUAGCUGAAAUUUAAAAAUAAAAAUUAAAAAUAUUAUCAACAUUUA